GACAGAGGGUGCAACCGUUGUUCGGAAUUACUGGGCGUAAAGCGCGUGUAGGCGGCCAUCUAAGUCGGGCGUGAAAUCCCACGGCUCAACCGUGGAAGUGCACUCGAAACUGGAUGGCUAGAGUCCUGGAGAGGAAGGUGGAAUGCUUGGUGUAGAGGUGAAAUUCGUAGAUAUCAAGCGGAACACCGGUGGCGAAGGCGGCCUUCUGGACAGUGACUGACGCUGAGACGCGAAAGCGUGGGGAGCAAACAGG
rnacentral:rRNA from 1 species